rnacentral:rRNA from 1 species
AGUGAACGCUGGCGGUAUGCCUAACACAUGCAAGUCGAACGGCAGCACAGUAAGAGCUUGCUCUUACGGGUGGCGAGUGGCGGACGGGUGAGGAAUACAUCGGAAUCUACUUUUUCGCGGGGGAUAACGUAGGGAAACUUACGCUAAUACCGCAUACGACCUACGGGUGAAAGCAGGGGAUCUUCGGACUUUGCGCGAUUGAAUGAGCCGAUGUCGGAUUAGCUAGUUGGCGGGGUAAAGGCCCACCAAGGCGACGAUCCGUAGCUGGUCUGAGAGGAUGAUCAGCCACACUGGAACUGAGACACGGUCCAGACUCCUACGGGAGGCAGCAGCGGGGAAUAUUGGACAAUGGGCGCAAGCCUGAUCCAGCCAUACCGCGUGGGGGAAGAAGGCCUUCGGGUUGUAAAGCCCUUUUGUUGGGAAAGAAAAGCAUCAGGUUAAUACCCCGCUGUUCUGACGGUACCCAAAGAAUAAGCACCGGCUAACUUCGUG